rnacentral:rRNA from 1 species
CAGUAGCCGCGGGAAUACGAAGGGGGCAAGCGUUGUUCGGAAUUAUUGGGCGUAAAGGGUGCGUAGGCGGUUUGAUGAGUCUUGUGUGAAAUCUAUGGGCUCAACCCAUAGUCUGCACAGGAAACUGUCGGGCUUGAGAGUGGGAGAGGUGAGUGGAAUUUCCGGUGUAGCGGUGAAAUGCGUAGAUAUCGGAAGGAACACCAACGGCGAAAGCACUCUGCUGGGCCGACACUGACACUGAGAGACGAAAGCUAGGGGAGCAAAUGGGAUUAGAUACCCCCGUAGUCCCUGUCUCUUAUAC